rnacentral:rRNA from 1 species
GAUGAACGCUGGCGGCGUGCUUAACACAUGCAAGUCGAGCGAGGAAUCACCUUCGGGUGUGAACUAGCGGCGGACGGGUGAGUAACACGUGGGCAACCUGCCUUACAGAGGGGGAUAGCCUUCCGAAAGGAAGAUUAAUACCGCAUAUUAUGAGUUUUCUGCAUGGGGAAUUCAUGAAAGGAGAAAUCCGCUGUAAGAUGGGCCCGCGGCGCAUUAGCUAGUUGGUGAGGUAACGGCUCACCAAGGCGACGAUGCGUAGCCGACCUGAGAGGGUGAUCGGCCACAUUGGGACUGAGACACGGCCCAGACUCCUACGGGAGGCAGCAGUGGGGAAUAUUGCACAAUGGGGGAAACCCUGAUGCAGCAACGCCGCGUGAGUGAUGACGGCCUUCGGGUUGUAAAGCUCUGUCUUCAGGGACGAUAAUGACGGUACCUGAGGAGGAAGCCACGGCUAACUACGUGCCAGCAGCCGCGGUAAUACGUAGGUGGCGAGCGUUAUCCGGAUUUACUGGGCGUAAAGGAUGCGUAGGUGGAAUUUUAAGUGGGAUGUGAAAUACCCGGGCUCAACCUGGGAACUGCAUUCCAAACUGGAAUUCUAGAGUGCAGGAGAGGAAAGCGGAAUUCCUAGUGUAGCGGUGAAAUGCGUAGAGAUUAGGAAGAACACCAGUGGCGAAGGCGGCUUUCUG